UCUGAGAAGCCUGACAACUCGCUCCCCCAUCACCCGGGGAAUUCUUGUCAUCCCUUACGUCACAGCCUAAAUGUCCCUUCCUUGGGGAAACUCUCUCUGACAUCCCCCACCGCACCCCAUCCUCCCCACUCCAAUGCAGCAUCUUGUGCAUCUCUGUAGCACUAAUCACAGUGGCAUUUAAUGAGUUGUUUCUGCAAUGGUUUGCUCUCUCCCCACUCAUGCAUAUGCUCCUCAAGGGAUGGCAACAUGUCUCUAUUGUUUACCACCCUGUCCUGAAUGCAGGGGCCCUGACUCAGAGAAGACUCCGGGUAAUUAUUUACCAUUUGAAGAAUGAAUGGCUUCCUAAGUUUGUGCACCUAGAGCUCUCUGGCCUUCAGCUGCUUCAUCUGUAAGUAGGCGGAGCCUUAGGUCCCCAGGACUAGCUCACUCUUAAGAUGACUUCUCAUUCUUAGGUCCUAGAAAAUGCUUUUUAAAAUUCCAUCUUCCUUUCCCAAAUGGAAACAACAAUGUCAUACCAAUCAGGUUGGAAAAAAAAUGAGAAAUUUGGAUAAUGCCAUGUGCUGAGUACCAGUGUCCUCGAAGAAACCUGUCAGUAUUCAGGGAAAUGAAGUACUGCACGCCUUCUGACCCCACCAUCCCACUCCUGGGGAGACUCCGGGGAAACACUCACGUGGUCCCAGUGGGUCACCCACAUGGUGGGGCAUCGGAGGCAAUCUAGUGUCCACCCCUGGAACAGCGGACAUCUCUAGAGAAACUCUGCAGCAGUCAGAAACAUCGAAUGAGAUAAUGCACAGCAACUCAGGUGAAUGUAAUGACUGAUUAACGAACGAAGACUCCACCUUCUCUUCCUCUCGUGGAUCCCAGCGAACUUCCAGGGCAUGGGUUGGCAUAGGUUUGAAGAAGGUUUCUCGGCCUCUGCACUGUCUACAUUUUGGGCCCGCUGAGUCUUUGUAGUUGGGGCUGGCCUGUGCAUUGUAGGAUGUUUAGCAGUUUCCCUGGUGUCCACCUACCAGAUGCCAGUUGCACCUACCAAGUUCUGACACCCAAAAUGUCUUCAGACAUCGCCAAAUGUCCCCUGGGGGACAAAAAUCACCCCUGGUUGAGAACCACUGGGUUGGAAUACAAGCCUGAAAAACCGCUCCCAGUCUGCCAGAAGGUCAAGACCACAGUGACCUCUGGACUCCAGCCCCUGGCUAAGAAUGCAAUCUACCUGUCCAUGGGCCAGUGUGACUCAAGAUGUCAAGGGAUGGUGAUCACUGAGAGACCAAAGAUUUCCUCUGAAUUUGCCUGGAUUUUCACACUUGAUUGUUCACUGUCAAAAGGAAGAACAGGUGUACCUACAGCAACCUGGCUGCAGAAAUCUACAUUCUCCUUAUUCUGAGAAACCCCUCAAAAUACUACCACCAAAGUAGAAACCAAAUUUAUCCUGAAUUGACAUGUACCCCCUAACCCCAGCCCAACUCCAUACUCCUCUCUGUCAAGGAAGCAAAAUCAAUUUCCUUUGCUUUAGAUACCAGCAUGUAGGCUUGUGGACUUCCAAAUGCUGUCUUCCAAGAACUUGGAGUUUAAACAUGAUCCCUUGGAUGAUAUGUCCAAAGAAGUUCUCACUGAAAUUCCCCGCAUCGUAAAAUGUCAGGAUGUCUGCGGUCUUUAUUUAUAGACAGAUUGCUUUUCAACU
rnacentral:lncRNA from 1 species